CCCUCCUUCCUCGAAACCCUAGAUUCCGCCGCCCCCCCGCGCGGUGCGAUCGUGCGGCCCGCGGCCUCCCGCGAUGCCCAUAUAAGGAGGCCCCCUCUCCCCCCCGAGGCUCUCGACACAACCGCUCUCGCGCUCUAGGGUUUGCGCCGCCGCCGCCUCGAGGACAAUGGGACGCACGGUGGUUUCCGACGAGGAAGGUACGCGAUUUCGUUGCUGAUUUCUGCGGUUUCGCGUGUUUUGGUGCCCUCGGCGGCGGUCUGUGCGCGUUUUCUGAUGGGAAAAGCUUGCGCUUCUGUUGGAACCCUAGAGGACGACUUCAUCGAGGCCGAGGAAGAGGACGAGCCGCGGCCGUCGCGGAGGGCCAGGGAUGAUGACGACGAGCAGGACGACGACGAUGAGGAGGAUGAUGAUGAAGGUUAGUUUCUCGUAACGACCUCCCCAUUACGUUUGCUUGCGCGAGCGAUUUGUUGGCUGGAGUUAUCCUUUCCUCUCGAUUGAGAUGCUUUUAUGUGCUGUGCGGUACUGUGUUUCGGGCGUUCUCUUGCUUGAUUUCUUAUUUCAAUUGUUCUUAUUGUCUAUUACGAUGUUGUGGUAUUGAUUCCAGUUUGCAGCAGUUGCCUUUUUCUAGUUGAAUCGCCUGUGAUUGUGUUCUCGAGCUAGUAUAGCAAUAACGGGGUGACCUUGUUUGUGAGCAGAUGAGGGACAGAAUGAGUACGAGAAGGAUGGCUUCAUAGUGGAUGAUGCGGAUGAAGACGAGGAAGAGGAGGAGGAGGAGGCGAGAGCUAGUGAUGAUGAAAGACGCAAGAAGAAAAAGA
rnacentral:lncRNA from 1 species